GAAAUCUUCACAAACAUCAGUAUUUUGGAUGACAUUUUACUUGACACCCUUCAACAUUUUUGAAGUAUCAGCCUCCUGUUCAGGUACCCAGUACAUUCAUGGCUGCUGGACAGCUACAGGUAGCACCCAAAUGAGGGGCUUGAAAACAUGGGACCCACUGAGAAAUGCUGCCUUGGGUGGAGCUCCACAGAAAACAGAAGAAAAGUAACAGUAUCCUGCAUGGUGAAAAACUACAAACCUAGUUACACACUCAAGAAUGGUGUCACAGAAAAGGUGUUCACUACUCCUGACUCACGUUUUCUUGGGUACAACUGAACUAUUUUAAGACUCUUUGAUAGGCCAUCCAUCUCUAAAGAAGUACCUUGCAGAGCACCCAGAGGAAGCUCCACUUCCAGGUGCUCUAACACACCCAGGAUCAAAGAUCAUAUACUCUGGUCAUUGACUACUGAAGGUCA